GUGGGGAGAGGCCACUAUCCAUCUGAGAGGAGCUCGGAUAUUGCGGGCGAGCCUUCUACCGUUGGGUGCCUUGGGCAUUAAUAUUGCAGGCGAGGGCCAUUUGCUGUAGGAGCUCGGCCGGAGGCUUUCCGUAGAUGAAGUUUGGUUUCACACAGAAUUCGGCAAAGGGUCGACCGACAGUGGAUGUCGGAUGGUGCUAGAGAGGUUCAUCCGCUGGAGGGGUCUAGCUACUGGAGUUUGGGUGCCGCAGGAGUUCGUUCGGAAUCUAUCCGCUACAGGAGUUCGGUCGGAGUUCGAUCUCCGUAGAAGCCCGG
rnacentral:lncRNA from 1 species